UUAGAGAGGAAGAAUAUUAGCAUUUAAAUGGUUUACAUUAAAGUCUAUUAUACUUAUUUAGGUCCAAUAUUGAUUUUUAUUCUUAUGAUGUGAGGGAGAAGAGAACAAAAGAUCUUAGAUUCUGAAUUUGGAACUGUUGAACCUUUACUCUGCAGGAGGCAGUGCUACUUGUGUGUAAGGGUCAAAUGAGUCCAGAAAACUAAUGCAGAAAAAAAGAACUUAACUUCCAAGAAAAUGUAUAUCUAAUUUUGAGUCUCUCAUGGUAGCAUUAAAAGAAGAGAAAUGAAAACAAAGAGUAGAAAAGGGGAGAUAGGGAGCAAAGCAGAUUGUUUACUUGCUUUUGCCUCCUGGAUUUUCAUUCUUUUCUUUUAUCUCUGCAGCCCUGAGGAUUUAUUGGCACCCAUUUCAUUUGUCUUUCUCCAGGUUUAAAAUUGAGGUGAUGAGAUGGAAUAUUACCUGUGUGCUUUGGAACAUCCACGAGUGACAGGUGAUAGUUGCCUGGGAAACUAGAGAUGAAAUUCUACAGACCUUUGAAAUACUUUACAUUUGAAAAUAAAGCUCAUCUAGAGUUUAAACAGCAUACUGACAAGCAGAUCUUUCUACAAAGGGAAAACAUCACUAAUGGCAACCUGAGAGCCUCCCAUUUCUUCUGUUAGAGGGGAACUGAAUUGCUCUAUUUGGCGCACUUCUAAAAAUCCUCAAAAUUUCUCAGGAACAGUUCUCAAUGGCCCAGUUUUACUCAAGUGCCCAUCUCUGGGCCAACCUUGGCAUGGGUUUCCUAUCUAAAAUCAUCACCAUGAACAUCAAAGUGAGGUGUAUCAAAAGAUGGUUAUCUCCAUUGUUCAACUGAUUCUCACGGUUAGAGCAGGAAAACGACCUCCUAAAGCUAGAUGGUGGAAGAGUUCAAGGGAAGAGAAAAUACUUUCUUCAUCUACAAAGCCAUGUAAUGCCACUACUUCACAUAAAUGUGAGUUUGUGUAUAUGACCUCCAGUCCAGUGUUAGCACAUGAUAGGUGCUCACCACUUUUUCAUUUCAUUGUUUUUUAAAAGGAAUCUAAAUAGGGCACUUUUUAUAGGGUAAGUAGAAUUAAGUUCAUAGAGGCAAAAAAAGGAGGGGGGAUUCUGUAUGAAAGAUUUUGCAUUUGUAAAGAUUUUUUUUUUAUUGAUACUGUUAAAAUCCAUGCAGGAAAACAGAUGGGACAUGAGGAGAGAGUUCCACAGAUGAUAUUUUAUUCACUGUCAUCUAUAACCUCUGGUCUCUAAUACUAAAUUUACAGUCACCUCUGUGAUCAAACUGCUGUGUAUACCAAUGCAGAGUUCAGUUUUUCCCUCUCUCUGUAACAAAAAAGUUUAGCUUGAGACAUUAAAAUAAGAUUGGGCAAAGAUUCUCAUUCUCCUUGAAUAAGAAAGGGUUAUGUGUUUUUUUCAAAAAUAAAACUACUGAUGUAAGUGAUGACACAAGUAACCUAAUCACUUGUUUCCUUCCAGUUAGUUUAACCAAAGUGGAAACUAUGAAAUAGAGCACAAAUAGUAAU
rnacentral:lncRNA from 9 species